GAUAGAGUGACAGAAGGGCGUUCGGUGGAUGCCUUGGCGCCAAGAGGCGAUGAAGGACGUGGCACGCUGCGAAAAGCCGCGGGGAGAUGCGAGCGAUCGUUGAUCCGCGGAUGUCCGAAUGGGGAAACCCCUCCCGUAUGGGAGAUCCUGCACUGAAUUCAUAGGUGCUGGAGGCAAACCCGGGGAACUGAAACAUCUCAGUACCCGGAGGAAAAGACAUCAACAGAGAUUCCGCGAGUAGUGGCGAGCGAAAGCGGAGCAGGCCAGUGAUUGUGCAAGAAGAAGCCGAACGGUCUCGAAAGGCCGGCCAGAGCGGGUGAUAGCCCCGUAGGCGUAGUGUCUUGCAGGAUCCUCGAGUAGGGCGGGGCACGUGAAACCCUGUCUGAACGUGGGGGGACCACCCUCCAAGCCUAAAUACUCCUUGGCGACCGAUAGUGCACAAGUACCGUGAGGGAAAGGUGAAAAGCACCCCGACGAGGGGAGUGAAAGAGACCUGAAACCGAGCGCCUACAAGCAGUCGGAGCACCCCAAUGUUCAAUCAUGGGAGGUGUGACGGCGUACCUUUUGUAUAAUGGGUCCGCGAGUUUCUGUUGGCAGCAAGCUUAAGCCGAGAGGUGUAGGCGCAGCGAAAGCGAGUCUGAUAAGGGCGCUUGAGUUGCCGGCAGAAGACCCGAAACCGAGUGAUCUAGCCAUGGCCAGGCUGAAGGUGGGGUAACACCCACUGGAGGGCCGAACCCACGCCUGUUGAAAAAGUCGGGGAUGAGCUGUGGCUAGGGGUGAAAGGCCAAUCAAACUCGGAAAUAGCUGGUUCUCCGCGAAAUCUAUUGAGGUAGAUCGUCGUCCGAUUACCUUCGGAGGUAGAGCACCGGAAGGGCUAGGGGGGCCCAAAGCCCUACCAAACCCUACCGAACUCCGAAUGCCGAAGAGUACAGGACGGCAGACAGACAGUGGGUGCUAAGGUCCAUUGUCGAGAGGGAAACAGCCCAGACCACCAGCUAAGGCCCCCAAAUCGUGGCUAAGUGGGAAAGCAUGUGAGACGGCCAAAACAACCAGGAGGUUGGCUUAGAAGCAGCCAUCCUUUAAAGAAAGCGUAAUAGCUCACUGGUCUAAUAGCUGUCUUGCGGCGAAAAUGUAACGGGGCUCAAGCCACGUGCCGAAGCUGUGGAUGCAUGCGCAAGCAUGCGUGGUAGCGGAGCGUUCCGUAGGCCUGCGAAGGCAGACCCGUGAGGGCUGCUGGAGGUAUCGGAAGUGCGAAUGCGGACAUGAGUAGCGAUAAACAGGGUGAGAACCCCUGUCGCCGAAAGUCCAAGGGUUCCUGCGCAAGGUCAAUCCGCGCAGGGUGAGCCGGCCCCUAAGGCGAGGGCGAAAGCCGUAGUCGAUGGGAACCAGGUGAAUAUUCCUGGGCCUGACAGACGUGACGGCUGCAAAGCGUUGUUGCCCCUUAUCGGAUUGGGGCGGCAGCCAGAGCAGCCCAGGAAACAGCGCUGUCGAUAAAGACCGUACCCGAAACCGACACAGGUGGACUGGUUGAGAAUACCGAGGCGCUUGAGAGAACUAUGCUGAAGGAACUAGGCAAAUUACUCGCGUAACUUCGGGAUAAGCGAGACCCCUUCUUGCGCAAGCAAGGUGGGGUGGCACAGACCAGGGGGUAGCGACUGUUUAGUAAAAACACAGGGCUCUGCGAAAUCGAGAGAUGACGUAUAGGGUCUGACACCUGCCCGGUGCCGGAAGGUCAAGGGGAGAUGUGCAAGCAUCGAACCGAAGCCCCGGUAAACGGCGGCCGUAACUAUAACGGUCCUAAGGUAGCGAAAUUCCUUGUCGGGUAAGUUCCGACCUGCACGAAUGGUGUAACGACUUCCCCACUGUCUCCAGCAUAGACUCAGCGAAAUUGAAUUCCCCGUGAAGAUGCGGGGUACCCGUGGUCAGACGGAAAGACCCUAUGAACCUUUACUGCAGCUUCGCAGUGGUGCCAGGAAGGAACUGUGUAGGAUAGGUGGG
rnacentral:rRNA from 1 species